GACGAACGCUGGCGGCGUGCUUAACACAUGCAAGUCGAACGGAAAGACCCUGCUCUUGUGGGGCUCUCGAGUGGCGAACGGGUGAGUAACACGUGUGUAACACCCCCUUGUCUUUGUGAUAACUUCUGGAAACUGGGGCUAAUAUCGGAUAGGAUCUCCUGCUCCAUGGUGGGGGUUGGAAAGAUACGGUGUUGGGGGCACGUCUCGCGGCAUCUCAGCUAGUUGGUGAGGUAGUGGCUUACCAAGGCUUUGACGGGUAGCCGGCCUGAGAGGGUGACCGGCCACAUUGGGACUGAGAUACGGCCCAGACUCCUACGGGAGGCAGCAGUGGGGAAUAUUGCACAAUGGGCGAAAGCCUGAUCCAGCCAUGCCGCGUGAGUGAAGAAGGUCUUCGGGUUGUAAAGCCCUUUUGUUGGGAAAGAAAAGCAGCAGGUUUAUCCCCCGCUGUUCUGACGGUACCCAAAGAAUAAGCACCGGCUAACUUCGUG
rnacentral:rRNA from 1 species